rnacentral:rRNA from 1 species
UACGUAGGGCGCGAGCGUUGUCCGGAUUUAUUGGGCGUAAAGAGCUCGUAGGCGGCUUGUCGCGUCGACUGUGAAAACCCGUGGCUCAACCAUGUGGUCUGCAGUCGAUACGGGCAGGCUAGAAUUCGGUAGGGGAGACUGGAAUUCCUGGUGUAGCGGUGAAAUGCGCAGAUAUCAGGAGGAACACCGGUGGCGAAGGCGGGUCUCUGGGCCGAUAUUGACGCUGAGGAGCGAAAGCGUGGGGAGCGAACAGG